rfam:Gossypium hirsutum cultivar TM-1 chromosome 22, whole genome shotgun sequence
AUUUCAUGAUGAGGGAACUUUUGUAAUGACUCCUUAAAUCAUUUUCAUGCCUCAUACAAGGACUCAUCACCGGAUUGCUGAAAUGUGGUAAUUUUAUUUCUGAGUUU